rnacentral:lncRNA from 1 species
CCAAGGGUGACAAUCAAAUUUCAGAGGAGGAGGCUGAAGCAGCAUAAAAGCGGAACAGAGCCAAGACCUCUUCCCCCCGGCAAGAGAUGGCUGAAGGGCAACCGUGGUACAUUGUACAAGAAAAUGGUACGUGUCUUGUUAAAAUGGAUUAUAUCACCCAUGGAUUCCCCUGUUGGAGAGCCUUUAAGAUGAAGUGUAUCUUUGCUCAGACCUUCUGUUAUGCUGAUGUGCUUGGUGAAAACAUCGAUGUUAACUGGCUGGACAGGCUUCGGCAUGCCUGUCAGUGGCAGGAGUUCUGUACAACGUUGCUUUCCUGCUGCAGGAGGCAAUGCACGCAGCCAAGCAAGUUUAGCUGUUUUACUGCCACAUCAGCAGGACAGAAGAAGGAUACCUGACAACAGAAAGAAGAGGACACAAAAAGGACAGAAAGAGAAAAGAUGUUGGGAGAUAACAGUCUGGAGAGGAAAAGUUACCACAUGCAGCUCCAAGAACAAAAGAAAAAUAAACAUUUAAUGUACCUGCA